CCAGUCCCUCCUGCAGCAAAGCACCCCCCCCAGCAUGAUGCUGCCACCCCCGUAAUGAGGUAAUGAUCUGUCUAUUGAUCGGCACAGCAAUGAUAAAACAGGACCAUGUUUGAAACACAAGUGGUUCUGAGCUUAUGUCAAUAUUACACAGGUAAGCUAACAGUUACAGAAAUCAGGAAUGCAGACAGGCUCUAUCUAUCUGAGCUGCAACACACCUGUUAUGUUGGGCACCUGUUAUAGGCCAAAAAAGGAUGCUAUUAUGAUCAAUUUUUUUCAAUGGCAUGUUUUGCUAAAAUAAAGGUUUAAGGAAAUAAAGGCAGGCACCACAUUACAACAAGACAAAACAGCUCAAUCAAGCCUGAGGUGCAAAGCAAAGCUUGCUUUCAUAAAAGAAAAAAAAAAAAAGUUGAAAAAGUACCGUAAUGGGAUAAUGUCUUACUGUGGUUUGUGAAGAAUCCAAUACUUUACCUUGUAUGUGGUACAAAUCCCAUUAUUGUGGAAGCAGCUCCUCAAAGAGUAUGAAUUAGGCUAUUUGAGAAGGUUUGAAUCCUAAGCAACCUGCCUAAACAUAGCAUGAAGUACAAUGCCAACAUAGCUACUGUAGUAGAUCAAAGCUGUGUGCUGGAAAACCUUGGUGGAGCAUGGGUGGAAUAGGCAUUGUGGUGCUCAUGCGAAUUAGCCUUUUUUCUUUCAGCAUCAGACCAACUUCUCACUUAAAACACAGCUUUGAAGAUAGACAACAACUGGUGAAUUUGACCAUUUAAUUAUAAAACAUUUGUUAUUAUUUUAUUUACAUUUGUAAAUUACAAGAUCAUCAGUUAGCUAGUAAUCCUCAGUUUCAACAUAGUUUAAUCACUUUUCUAGUUGAGCGUUUUGAUCUGCUUAACAUCUGCCGUCUUACAUACAAAAUAUCACAUUACUGUUACUCGCAUUUUAAAAGCAUCAGGAGUUUGAUUUUCAAAACCAAUCAAGAUAUUUAUAAUUCACAAUACUUUGUCAUUAUUUAAAUAAAUAAAAAUGCAUCGCUGCUAAAUUAUACAUAUUAACAAACUAUUUCCUCAAGUAUCUACAAUGAGAGAGAGAGAAGAGAGAGAGAGAGGAAUAGAGGAAGAGAGAGCGAGGAAGAGAGAGAGGAGAAAGAGGAAGAGUGAGAGAGGAGAGAUCAAACAGAAAAGUCUGAGGAAUUUGAGGCUUGGAGACCAUAAUAAUAAUGUUGGACACCAGGGUAUGUAUGUUUCAGGGGGUUGUUGUGUAUCUCUGUUAACUGAGACUAGUUCCUUUGGGUUUGUGUGAUGGCACGAGCUGACAGGGGCCACCCCAGGUAGAGGAAAGGGUACAGGGGACUGGUGCCACCCCAGGUUGAGGAAAGGGUACAGGGGACUGGUGCCACCCCAGGUAGAGGAAAGGGUACAGGGGACUGGUGCCACCCCAGGUUGAGGAAAGGGUACAGGGGACUGGUGCCACCCCAGGUAGAGGAAAGGGUACAGGGGACUGGUGCCACCCCAGGUAGAGGAAAGGGUACAGGGGACUGGUGCCACCCCAGGUAGAGGAAAGGGUACAGGGGACUGGUGCCACCCCAGGUUGAGGAAAGGGUACAGGGGACUGGUGCCACCCCAGGUAGAGGAAAGGGUACAGGGGACUGGUGCCACCCCAGGUAGAGGAAAGGGUACAGGGGACUGGUGCCACCCCAGGUAGAGGAAAGGGUACAGGGGACUGGUGCCACCCCAGGUAGAGGAAAGGGUACAGGGGACUGGUGCCACCCCAGGUAGAGGAAAGGGUACAGGGGACUGGUGCCACCCCAGGUAGAGGAAAGGGUACAGGGGACUGGUGCCACCCCAGGUAGAGGAAAGGGUACAGGGGACUGGUGCCACCCCAGGUAGAGGAAAGGGUACAGGGAGUGGUUGAACAUGCUGGACCCCCUGCCUGCUUCUCUAUCUGUAGAGUGAUUUACUGUAUGAGGUCACAGAGACACUCAUCCCAUAAUAGAGGUCUACAGGUCACAGAGACACUCAUCCCAUAAUAGAGGUCUACAGGUCACAGAGACACUCAUCCCAUAAUAGUGGUUGCCUUUGACAACAGCCUCUCUUGCCAUAGGCCUACACUCAUUUACAGAGAACAUUAUUUCCUCCCUUUGUGUGAAUAUUACUAAAUGUAAUAAAAUCUAUCUGGCCCCCAGCAUGUCUGCCCUAUCUGGCCCCCAGCAUGUCUGCCCUAUCUGGCCCCCAGCAUGUCUGCCCUAUCUGGCCCCCAGCAUGUCUGCCCUAUCUGGCCCCCAGCAUGUCUGCCCUAUCUGGCCCCCAGCAUGUCUGCCCUAUCUGGCCCCCAGCAUGUCUGCCCUAUCUGGCCCCCAGCAUGUCUGCCCUAUCUGGCCCCCAGCAUGUCUGCCCUAUCUGGCCCCCCAGCAUGUCUGCCCUAUCUGGCCCCCAGCAUGUCUGCCCUAUCUGGCCCCCAGCAUGUCUGCCCUAUCUGGCCCCCAGCAUGUCUUCCCUAUCUGGCCCCCAGCAUGUCUGCCCUAUCUGGCCCCCAGCAUGUCUGCCCUAUCUGGCCCCCAGCAUGUCUGCCCUAUCUGGCCCCCAGCAUGUCUGCCCUAUCUGGCCCCCAGCAUGUCUGCCCUAUCUGGCCCCCAGCAUGUCUGCCCUAUCUGGCCCCCAGCAUGUCUGCCCCAGCGAGAUAUAGAUGGAGAGCAGCUGCUGCUGUGAAGACGGGAGGAGAAGAGAGGAAGCUUACACUGCCUUCACAAUACACGGGUCAAAUCCCUCCCCAAGCCCUACCAAUACACGGGUCAAAUCCCUCCCCAAGCCCUACCAAUACACGGGUCAAAUCUCUCCCCAAGCCCUACCAAUACACGGGUCAAAUCUCUCCCCAAGCCCUACCAAUACACGGGUCAAAUCUCUCCCCAAGCCCUACCAAUACACGGGUCAAAUCUCUCCCCAAGCCCUACCAAUACACGGGUCAAAUCUCUCCCCAAGCCCUACCAAUACACGGGUCAAAUCUCUCCCCAAGCCCUACCAAUACACGGAUCAAAUCUCUCCCCAAGCCCUACCAAUACACGGGUCAAAUCUCUCCCCAAGCCCUACCAAUACACGGGUCAAAUCUCUCCCCAAGCCCUACCAAUACACGGGUCAAAUCUCUCCCCAAGCCCCUACCAAUACACGGGUCAAAUCUCUCCCCAAGCCCUACCAAUACACGGAUCAAAUCUCUCCCCAAGCCCUACCAAUACACGGGUCAAAUCUCUCCCCAAGCCCUACCAAUACACGGGUCAAAUCCCUCCCCAAGCCCUACCAAUACACGGGUCAAAUCUCUCCCCAAGCCCUACCAAUACACGGGUCAAAUCCCUCCCCAAGCCCUACCAAUACACGGGUCAAAUCUCUCCCCAAGCCCUACCAAUACACGGGUCAAAUCCCUCUCCAAGCCCUACCAAUACACGGGUCAAAUCCCUCCCCAAGCCCUACCAAUUUAAUGCCCCAUAGAUAGUCCUUCAGAAGUUCAGCCCGGUGGGUUGGAGCCUGUUAGUUACUAGGUUGAAGCUACCCAAGAACAGAGGUUAAGGUUAAGAUAAGAUACCCAAGAACAGAGGUUAAGGUUAAGAUAAGAUACCCAAGAACAGAGGUUAAGGUUAAGAUAAGAUACCCAAGAACAGAGGUUAAGGUUAAGAUAAGAUACCCAAGAACAGAGGUUAAGGUUAAGAUAAGAUACCCAGGUUGAGGACAAGAGGAUUCUAAACAAUGAGACCAGCCAUGUGAAAAUGAUGGGAACGUUUAGGAGGGUUGGAGGCUACCGGCUCUCAGAGGAGACUACACAGGAAGGUGUUUUCUUGUUUGAGGGUCUCAGAGGAGACUACACAGGAAGGUGUUUUCUUGUUUGAGGGUCUCAGAGGAGACUACACAGGAAGGUGUUUUCUUGUUUGAGGCUCUCAGAGGAGACUACACAGGAAGGUGUUUUCUUGUUUGAGGCUCUCAGAGGAGACUACACAGGAAGGUGUUUUCUUGUUAUAACUGUGUUAUAACAGUCUCUUUGUCAGCUUCCUCAGACAGGAGAUCUCUGUCAGGAAACAGAGUGUUAUUAUCUGUUAGGAGAGAGAGACACAUGGAGGAGACUAUAAACCACACAGCCUGACUAUGGCUAUAUGAGGACUUACAGGCAGAGAGCUGCGGGUAUUGAGGUGUGUUUGGGACAUCAACAGAGGGGAAAACUGAGCGCCUGUACAGGAAUGAACCAGCCCAGCGUAGAGUGGCUUUAACAUGCAGGGUUGUGGUUGGUAGCUCCUGCUGAAACGACACAAUCUGACUGGGGCUUUCCAGCCUAACAGAGGAGGCUGGAGUAGUCAGGACGUCAACAGAACAAACACAAGAGGGGAAGAAAACAUGAACUAGCCUGGUCCCAGAUCUGUUUGGCAUGUCAAGGACCAUAGACAGCAUAAACCGAUCUGGGGCUGAAUAAAUCCCAGCCUAUAGACCCUGCUCCAAAGGUAGUGCGUUACAUAGCCCAUGAUGUGUCUGUUCUCUCCUACAGCUCUGUCUGUAUGUGAUGCUGCAUUUAAAGGGACGGUAGCAUAAACGUAACCGCAUGUAACAUAUGGAUCGACAUUAGUUUACGCAUCAAAAGUCCCAAUAAAAAGUUACACCUCAUUUUUUCUAUUAUUGGAGUUAUUAUAUAAAACUGAUCAGAAUGCCCAAGUCAUGUCAGAAAAUGUUUUUCCCGGGUGUGAUGUAAUAUGGAGGACACAGCAAGCCAGCCUAUUGCCGAUAACGUAAACUCCAACAUAAUUUAACUUCAAAUGUAUAACUUCAAUUUAAACCAAAUUGUUUGCACUCAUGACUACUGGUUUCAAUUGAAUUUUCUGCCAACUUAUAAGCAAAUACUAUGAAUUUAUUGUUACAAAUCAACUUGCAAGGUUGCUAACUAACUAGCCUGCUAACGUUAGCCAUACCAGCCUGCUAAUGUUACAUUAGCACUGAAUGAGUCAGUCAGUUGCUAUCAACACCUAGCUUACAUGAAAAUAAACCAAAGUUCUGGAAAUACAUAACGCCAACUAACCAGCUAUCAAAGAAUGUUAGCUAUAUGCAGUUAUCUUAGCAAGCUAGCCAGCCAGCUAACGUGAACUAUUUAGCCAACUAGCUAUUAGCCUAGCCAGCCUAGCCAACUAGCUAUUAGCCUAACCAGCCUAGCCAACUAGCUAUUAGCCUAGCCAACCACCACGACUAUGGUCGGCAAGCUGGAACCCAAUUACUGGAGACCAGCCAGAACACAACAUAACUAAAACAUAACCGCAGAUCAAAAGCGCAGAGAGAGAUUUACAGAUUGAUGGCUGGGGCCCAUCCGAUGGUAACAGUCGAGGAAAAUCCAAAAGCUAUAGCGAGAACAAUCCAAAAGAGAUAGAUUCCGGAUGUAAGUCAGCUAGCAUGCUAGCACUAAGCCAAGGUGGAAAAAGUUACCAAACUCCCAUAGCCUACUACACAGAGAACAUGCCGAGAAGUUGACAAAAGUAAAAAGGAGAACAGACGAGGUUCUACACAAUUAGAGCAGGUAGGAUUUUCUCUUUCGUUUUGAGUCCACGGCAAGAAGGCACCAGAGACUGCAAUUCUAAUGGUCUCUCACUAGAUAACACAGCCACAAAGUCUGUGAUGAGCAUGAGCUUGCUACUGAGCUCGCAUACAAACUCUGUAGCACAGAGUAGAUCCUCCAUAUGACGUUGAGAAAUAGUGCAAUGUGGGUAGUUCCGAAGAUAUACGGAAAUAAGUUGAUAAAUAUGUAAUAACCCAAAAACAUAAAACGAUGUUUAUACUUCCAGGGAAACCAGAUGGUGACUACAAUUAAGUUACGAAGUCUUUAACCACACUUGAAACCCUACCUCUUUAAGGAAUACCUGGAAUAGUCUAACAGUAAUCCUUCUACCCCCCCCCUCCC